rnacentral:pre_miRNA from 1 species
UAACCUCCACAGGGUAGCUGGUCCCCAGGCUGGGCUGAGUGAGUAUCUCUUUGAAAGACUCACCCUCAAGCAUGACUAGGAGC